rnacentral:snoRNA from 1 species
GCCUGGUGGUUCCUAGAGUCAGCUCCAUAAUGCUGAACUGUGGGUUUUAUUUGACAGGCGCAUAUUGAUUCUGCGAUUUUAUGCAUGGAAGCUGUCACUAUAGCAGCCUUCCAUAGCCCGGUUGCAGAAACAUUU